rnacentral:rRNA from 1 species
UUCCGGUUGAUCCUGCCAGAGGUCACUGCUAUCAGUGUUCGACUAAGCCAUGCGAGUCAAAUGUUCUUCGUGAACAUGGCGUACUGCUCAGUAACACGUGGAUAAUCUGCCCUAAGGUCUGGCAUAACUCCGGGAAACUGGUGAUAAUUCCAGAUAUGCCAUAGAUACUGGAAUGUUCUGUGGUAAAAAGCUCCGGCGCCUUAGGAUGAAUCUGCGGCCUAUCAGGUAGUAGUGGGUGUAGUGUACCUACUAGCCGACGACGGGUACGGGUUGUGAGAGCAAGAGCCCGGAGAUGGAUUCUGAGACAUGAAUCCAGGCCCUACGGGGCGCAGCAGGCGCGAAAUCUCCACACUGCGGGAAACCGCGAUAAGGGGACACUGAGUGCCAGCAUAUUAUGUUGGCUGUCCGCAUGUAUAAAUAGCAUGUGUUAGCAAGGGCCGGGCAAGACCGGUGCCAGCCGCCGCGGUAACACCGGCGGCCCGAGUGGUGGCCACUAUUAUUGGGUCUAAAGGGUCCGUAGCCGAUUCGAUCAGUCUUCCGGGAAAUCUGACAGCUCAACUGUUAGGCUUCCGGGGGAUACUGUCGGACUUGGGACCGGGAGAGGUAAGAGGUACUACAGGGGUAGGAGUGAAAUCUUGUAAUCCUUGUGGGACCACCAGUGGCGAAGGCGUCUUACCAGAACGGGUCCGACGGUGAGGGACGAAAGCUGGGGGCACGAACCGGAUUAGAUACCCGGGUAGUCCCAGCCGUAAACGAUGCUCGCUAGGUGUCUGGGAUGGUGCGACCGUUUCAGGUGCCGCAGGGAAGCCGUGAAGCGAGCCACCUGGGAAGUACGGCCGCAAGGCUGAAACUUAAAGGAAUUGGCGGGGGAGCACUACAACGGGUGGAGCCUGCGGUUUAAUUGGAUUCAACGCCGGAA